UGUGGUGGCGACAGCGAGAAGGAUACACCUGUUCCCAUGCCGAACACAGAAGUUAAGCUUCUCAGCGCCGAUAGUAGUUAGGGGUUUCCCCUUGUGAGGGUAGGACGUUGCCACGCU
rnacentral:rRNA from 1 species